rnacentral:lncRNA from 1 species
CCGGCUGGCGCUGGUCCCCGCAGCUCAGCGGACUCAGUAGCGACCCGGGGCGCUCCGCCUGCUCCCGGGCUGCAUGCCUGCGAGCGCCUGGAGGAGCGAGCCUCAGGAGCGGCCGGCCGGCCAGUGCUUCCCGGGCGCAGGGCUCGGGCGGCGUAGCUUGCACUUCCGAGACGCCUGCAGAGUAGGGCGGCCCGGGCUAACCUGCUGCCUCGCCCGGCCUGUCGCCGCCACCGCCACCGCUGAGCGCGGCGUCGCGAGAAAAGGAAACAAAAGCACAGAGAGGUUAACACUUUAUCCAAAUGCCCCCAGCUAUCAAGAGUGAGCCUACAGCUUGAAGAUGAUCCUAAGCCUGUGAUGUCUCCUGCCUGGAGGCUUUGUGUGCACACCCAGAACAACUGCUCUCUAUCCCAUGGAGGGAUGUGCAUAACGUGAUCAUUUUCACCGCUGUAAUGAUGCCAGGGGACAGGGGAUAUGACAUUUAGUAGCCAAGAGACAAAGAUGCCAGCUGUCUCAAUGCAUAGACCCC